GCCAGACUCCUACGGGAGGCAGCAGUGGGGGAUAUUGCACAAUGGGGGAAACCCUGAUGCAGCGACGCCGCGUGAGUGAAGAAGUAUUUCGGUAUGUAAAGCUCUCUCAGCAGGGAAGAAAAAGGACGGUACCUGACUAAGAAGCCCCGGCUAACUACGUGCCAGCAGCCGCGGUAAUACGUAGGGGGCAAGCGUUAUCCGGAUUUACUGGGUGUAAAGGGAGCGUAGACGGCAAUACAAGUCGGAAGUGAAAUACCCGGGCUUAACCUGGGAACUGCUUUGGAAACUGUAUGGCUGGAGUGCUGGAGAGGUAAGCGGAAUUCCUAGUGUAGCGGUGAAAUGCGUAGAUAUUAGGAGGAACACCAGUGGCGAAGGCGGCUUACUGGACAGUAACUGACGUUGAGGCUCGAAAGCGUGGGGAGCAAACAGGAUUAGAUACCCCCGUACG
rnacentral:rRNA from 1 species